CGGCACAUGUAGGUGAAAUAUCUGUUAGAUACUUUUCAUACCAAACUAAUUUGCUUUAAUAAAUGUCAUUGUUAUGUCUCCAGUCUUCAGGUUGUGUGUG